rnacentral:rRNA from 1 species
UGCAGAAUCCCGCGAACCAUCGAGUCUUUGAACGCAAGUUGCGCCCGAGGCCACCUGGCCGAGGGCACGCCUGCCUGGGCGUCACGCUAAAUACGCUCCCACACCCCUCAUCGGGCAGUGGGAUGCGGCAUGUGGCCCCCCGUCACGCAAGAGGCGGUGGGCNGAAGAUGCGGCUGCCGGCGUAUCGUGCCGGACACAGCGCGUGGUGGGCGACCUCGCUUUACUUACCGCAGUGCAUCCGACACGUAGCCGACGUGAUGGCCUUAACGGACCCUAUGAACGGAGCGCAUGACGUUUCGACCGCGACCCCAGGUCAGGCGGGACUACCCGCUGAGUUUAAGCAUAUAAAUAAGCGGAGGAGAAGAAACUUACAAGGAUUCCCCUAGUAACGGCGAGCGAACCGGGAGCAGCCCAGCUUGAGAAUCGGGCGGCCGUGCCGUCCGA